CCUACGGGAGGCAGCAGUGAGGAAUAUUGGUCAAUGGGCUUACGCCUGAACCAGCCAAGUCGCGUGAGGGAAGACUGCCCUAUGGGUUGUAAACCUCUUUUGUCAGGGAGCAAUUGGCGCUACGUGUAGCGUUAUCGAGAGUCCCUGAAGAAAAAGCAUCGGCUAACUCCGUGCCAGCAGCCGCGGUAAUACGGAGGAUGCGAGCGUUAUCCGGAUUUAUUGGGUUUAAGGGGUGCGUAGGCGGAAUGCCAAGUCAGCGGUAAAAUCGCGGGGCUCAACCUCGCUCCGCCGUUGAAACUGGCGGUCUUGAGUGGGCGAGAAGUAUGCGGAAUGCGUGGUGUAGCGGUGAAAUGCAUAGAUAUCACGCAGAACUCCGAUUGCGAAGGCAGCAUACCGGCGCCCAACUGACGCUGAAGCACGAAAGCGUGGGUAUCGAACAGGAUUAGAUACCCUUGUAGUC
rnacentral:rRNA from 1 species